rnacentral:rRNA from 1 species
GACGAACGCUGGCGGCGUGCUUAACACAUGCAAGUCGAACGAAGUGGCGAACGGGUGAGUAACGCGUAAUCAACCUGCCCUUCAGAGGGGGACAACAUUUGGAAACGACUGCUAAUACCGCAUACUGCAGGGGGGGCUUGCGUCUGAUUAGCGAGUUGGAGGGGUAACGGCCCACCAAGGCGAUGAUCAUUAGCCGGUCUGAGAGGAUGAACGGCCACAUUGGGACUGAGACACGGCCCAGACUCCUACGGGAGGCAGCAGUGGGGAAUCUUCCGCAAUGGACGAAAGUCUGACGGAGCAACGCCGCGUGAGUGAUGACGGCCUUCGGGUUGUAAAGCUCUGUUAAUCGGGACGCGGUACCGGAAUAGAAAGCCACGGCUAACUACGUGCCAGCAGCCGCGGUAAUUC